rnacentral:rRNA from 1 species
UACGUAGGUGACAAGCGUUGUCCGGAAUUACUGGGCGUAAAGGGCUCGUAGGCGGCCAACUAAGUCAGACGUGAAAUCCCCAGGCUCAACCUGGGAACUGCGUCUGAUACUGGAUGGCUUGAAUCCGGGAGAGGGAUGCAGAAUUCCAGGUGUAGCGGUGAAAUGCGUAGAUAUCUGGAGGAAUACCGGUGGCGAAGGCGGCAUCCUGGACCGGCAUUGACGCUGAGGAGCGAAAGCCAGGGGAGCAAACGGG